GGCAACUCAGAUUGCACUGAAUAGCAGAGUAUUUAGAAAUGAAGGGAGCUGGGUCCUCAGGAUGUGUAGCAGCAUACAUUGUGGAAAGGUGAAAAGGUUACAUGUAAAAACAAUAACCCUUCCCAUAGCUUCAGCAGGCUCCAGGUGCCGCAGCCCUGACUCCUCAGGGCCCACCCCUGCUGUGUCCACACAAAUGCCCCCAGGAAGCUGACACUUCCCCGCAGCCUGUUCCUGCAGUCCCUGCCUUGGUUCUUAGCUG
rnacentral:lncRNA from 1 species